UACGUAGGGUGCAAGCGUUGUCCGGAAUUAUUGAGCGUAAAGAGCUCGUAGGCGGUCUGUCGCGUCGGCUGUGAAAACCCGGGGCUCAACCCCGGGCCUGCAGUCGAUACGGGCAGACUAGAGUGCGGUAGGGGAGACUGGAAUUCCUGGUGUAGCGGUGAAAUGCGCAGAUAUCAGGAGGAACACCGGUGGCGAAGGCGGGUCUCUGGGCCGUAACUGACGCUGAGGAGCGAAAGCGUGGGGAGCGAACAGG
rnacentral:rRNA from 1 species